UUAAAAUCGUCUCGUGUCACUGAAAACGUAUAGCCCGUGCUUGAAAAUGCCACGCAGCCGUUCCCCGCUUUACACCGAGCCCUCCCCGUGUGUCGUUCCAGGAAAGUUCGCAGCCGGCGCACUGGAGCGAAGCCCGACGCCGCGGCCACGUCCGUCUCUGUGUGUACCUGAAGUGAGGUAGUAGGUUGUAUAGUUGAGAACUACAUCUGCCAAGGAGAGCUAACUGUACAACUUGCUAACUUUCUUCGGGUCGCACAAUGUUCGUCGGAGGUCAGGCUACCGGACAGCUACUCAAGGCUCCGUUGGAACGAGCUUCCAAGUCGCUUCUUCGAGGAUGUCCAGAUGGUCGACUCUGGAGAGGACGGUCGCCAUGCUUUCUGCAGGAACCCCGCAUAUGCUGUGACCGAUACCGCUAUUUCAUAGAUCACUAGCGCUGACCCGGAUACUGCGCUGGGUCGUGAAUGCUGCACUAGAUCUCCCCUUAUUCCUUAAGGCCGUCGUCACAGCGCUAAUGCAUCACACGAGAGACACUCUGCACACUCUGUCUGAGGGUUCCUUGUACCCCUGCCACAUUGCCGAUGGAAGGAACAUCUGCAACCGUCUUCCAAGCAUACAUAUAUGUAUGAAGCAAGGACACUUCGAACAUGCUUGAGAUGGCAGAUAAUUCUCACAUCGUGACUGCAACGAACACCGUUGCUUCGGUAUGACGAUUUAACGGUGUGACUGCAAGCUUUGCUGUUCCAGGUCAGUCGCAUUUAGUGAUGUCACUAGGUCGCCUACAGAACUCCGACUCAGCCCUCUUUCAGGUCAAAUGUCUACACUCUACUACAAAAAAAAAAAAAAAAAAUAA